GGAUGGUAAGGUGCCUUUCAGUGAACUUUGGGUUCUGGGUUUUUUGUUUGUUUAUUUGUUUGUUUCGUAAGUGUCUUUAGAAUGUUGUCUGAAGAUUGCUUGGGAGUGGGGCUGGUCACAUGCUAAUUCUCCAUCUUCUCAUCUAUGCAGUUGGAAUCUCUGUCGCUUUUAGUGCAAUGUGGUGAAAUUAAACAGUUCAUAGAAAUUCACACUGUGACUUAGCCCAGGUGCUAAGAAGCUCUAAGAUGAUUGAGUUUUCCUUGCCACCUUAACUGAAUUUUUAGAUUUUUAAUCCACUCUUCCUUCUUUUCAGUAGAACUUCAACUUUAUUCUUUCCUUCCUCAUUCUUUCCCCUACAUGAACUCUAUCAUGGUGCAGACUUUACAGUGAGCACAGUCAGACCCCUCACGUCCUGUGACUGCAGCAGGAUGCCCACUUUUGCCACUCUCUGCACUUUGAUGUGCUCAGUGUAUGAUUUUCAUUGUCUUCUCAACUAUUAGUGACAGAUAUAUUUGUAGAAAAGACCUGUUUUCCUCUGUGGUGUCUGAGACUGUGUAGGGGUUUUGUUUUGGUCUGGCUUGGUUUGCUUUUCUCUAUUUAAAACUUAGAUUGUGUCUACACCCACACAGAAACUUCAUCCAGUCAUCAGGCACCAGUAGGCUGUUCCUUUGCAGAGUGGUGAUCAAAAAAAGCCAUACCUCUGGUGAUCAUAAGUUUCAGUUUUUGAAGACUGGGUUCAGAAAUGCAUGGUUUUCUUCCUUUACCUGGCAAGUUAUUGACUCAGCAAACCAAAGAAUGGAAGAUUGAGCAUAAUUAUGAAGU